rnacentral:misc_RNA from 1 species
GCACAAAUUAGAGAGCAUUCAGGUAUGAGCUGUGAAGUUCUGUUACUUGCCAAUGCAUGUGUGUGCAUCUAGUGAGAGUUAGUUUGUCAGUAAAUGAGUGAACUCAUCUGAUGCACAUAUGUUAUAUUGCAUUAGUUGGAAAGUUUAGAUCCAGCAUAUUUUUUUCAACUAUAAGACUAAUUUUCAAAAACUGACUAUAACAACAAUUGUUAUUAAAUGGUGCAACAUUUCAAGAUUAUUUUUUGUAAUUUUUUAUCAUAACUUCUUAUUACUUCUUGUUUACACUUGAAGUUUCUUCCUUGCUUUGUCUUUACCUGUGUUUUUCAGGUGCCUGUGGAUAUUGCUCCCUCAUUUUCCUUCGCCGAUGAAAUUUUGGAGUAAAGGCAGUGUGUUGGCAUCAGGCUUACAUGUGCCGUUUGUCUUGCAAACUCAGAUCAAAUGAAUGAGAGUAAUUGAAUUUAAAGAAAUGUCAAUAUUGGGAUAAUGCUAUAUGGUAGCAGCAUCUUCAAUGCUUCUGGAAAUAAAUCCAGCAUGGUUGGUUUCUAUCAUUAUCUAAAUCUGAGAAUGUCAUUUGUUUUCCCCAUUGAGUAAAACACACUGCAAAGUGCAAAGAAAAGAAGCUGCUUUCCUCUCGCUUCUCCUUGCUGUUGCAGCAAUGGUUUUGCCUUUCAAGUGUGUGCACAGAGCACAAUUGUGAAGCUAAAUCGGUACUUAGCAUGCGUACGAAUUGAGAGAGAUAUGGGGACUUGAGUAAAAAGGAUGAAAAUUUCCUACGAUUUUUAAUGAAAUUAAUCUGAUGAUUUCGAG